rnacentral:lncRNA from 1 species
AAGCAAGUGACUUAAUAAAUUCACAGCCACACAAAGGCUGUGCUCCUUCUUCGUCGCAGCGUGAAACUGGGUGCGGAGAAGGUUUGAAGCACUAGCUUCCAAAGCGCGUCCAGGGGAGCGCAGGGGCCGACACGAGCAGGGGCCGACACCGGCAGGGGCCCGACACCGGCAGGGGGACGACACCGGCAGGGGGACGACAACGGCAGGGCUCCGACACUGGCAGGGGCCCGCUUCGUGGAGGCGUUGUCACGUAUUUCUCACAUCCCUGGAACAGUCGUCGUCAAGAGCAAAUGAGGUAAUAAAGGCGGAAGCGCAUUCUCAACUCCACUGCAACGCUGUGUGGGAGGCCAGUCAACCCAACUCAUGUGAACACGCACACACAAACACACACACACGCCAGACGGAGAGAGAUGAAGUAAGUCUGGAGAACAUGUCCAGAGAGGGAGAGAGAUCCUGGCACCCGCUCACCUAGUCAGAGAGAGCAGGAGACAGAGAGAUAGAGACCCAGGGAGAUAGAUACACACAGAGAGAAGGGAAGACACAGACAAAGAUACACACAAAGAUAAAGAGAGAAAGAGAAAGACAUUUAGACUCAUGGCUAGACAGAGAGACACACAGAGAAAAAGAGAGAGAGAGAGAGAAAUGAGGAGAAAGAGGGAAACAGACAGUGAGAAACACUGAGAAAGAAGAUAUUUGGGGCAAGGAAGAGAGGCAGGGAGAAUUGGGGAAAUCAAGAGGCACUGAAAAAUAGGGCAGAAGAGUGAGUGAGUGAGCAGAGGAGGGGGUGAGCCAGGUCAGGGGCUGGUCACAGAGGGACAGAGUAGGGGAUUCAGGACAGGGCCAGAAGUAGGAAAGGGGUCGGGACUGAGAGCCUGGCUGGCCCAAGCUUCUGAAUGGGCUUCUGCAGCCUCUGGUCCUGGCCCUUCUCCUGGUCAGCAUGCUCAGAGCAUGAGACCAGGUGUCCUGAGGCUACCUAAAGGUGGGGAAGUCUUGCCGUGCCCCUGAGACUGCCAUAGCCAGUGGACACACCAAAGUUGUGCCCCCAGAGAGGCCCAGUGAGGAGAACUGAGCUUCCAAGUGAAGUGACAGGCUGACCAGCACUGGUGGACAUUGCUCAGAGUGGGUCUGACGGCAGGAGUCUGGGCAUUGGCCUGUUCCUGCAUCGUAUCUGACGAGUGGCCUGAUACAACGUUCUCCUUUCUAGGCCUCAAUAUCCCCUCUGCACAAUGGGUGCUAUCUCAGGACUCUGACACUGAGUUCAGAGACCCAGGCAGCCUGGCAUCGUGCCCUGUCCCCUUGAAUGAAGGCAGGAACACCCUUUUCCCACUUUGCAAUGAUUAUUUUAAAACUGAGUUUGCUUGUCUUUCCAGUUCCUGAUUUCUGUGCUCGUGGUCUUUGUCCACCAGCCCCUCCAACCUCUUGAUGUGGUAUCUCCACUCCACGUUUGGCCCGGGAAAGGCUGGGACCGUUGGUGGCCUCCAAGGAGCAGCAUCACAUUACACGCAGCUGGACCAGGCCCCAGGACAGCUAAAUGGCUGUCAUCUGGGCCCUGAGGCACCGGAGGGAGGAGUUCAGGGCACAAGGAGACCCAUGUAAAGCGUUUUCUGUUAAAGGAGGCCCUUGCUUAGCGAAGAAUCCACAUCAAGGAUCCAGAAUUGGCUGGUGCUCUGGGCAAAGGGUUUGGUCUGUGCAAAUCAUUUCCUCCUGCUAGACUUCCAGUCCCUCAUCUGAACCACGGCUGCCACGGACUCUACGCUCUUCUGCUUCUAACCCUCCAUGAUGCUGACCUCAGCUUCGGAACCUGGAAACAUGGCCAAGGGAAUGGAGGGAACAUGGGGUUGGACUGGAUGCAUGUGUCAGGUUUUGAAUUAAGGACUGUUGAGGUGGAACGGAGAGAAUGAGCAAAAGUAGAGGGGUUUAAAAGUGCAUGAGGUUUAUUCAUUCAUUCAACAAAUGUGGUUUGAGCUGCUGCUUUGUGGGCCCUUUUCUUAGUUGCUCUGGAUACAGGGGUGUAUAAUCCACGAAGAUAAGGAUGGUGCCUGUGGUGAGGGUUGCAGAGAGAAAAGCAGUGGGAGAGAGGGAGCCAAGAGGCAGAAGGGCAGGGAGGCUCCCCUCUCCCUGGGAGGAGAGACGUCCAGACCUGCCAUCCACCUGAGGGAAGAGACUGUUUUCAGGUGUAGAGGUUUCAAGAUGGUGGCCCAUGGAUGAAAUUCCAGCAUAGGUCUGUUUUGUUUGUCCCCAUAAAGUGUGUUAAAAUUAUAAUAAGCUUUUAGCUAUAAAAAUAGAAAGCUUUUAUAUAGAAACCUAGAAUUCUGCUCUUACAGACCCACUAGCCCAGGCAGUACUUCCAUGUAACAACGAUUGGCUGAGGCUGGGUUGAGGUUGCCCCUUGAGGGAGUGAGCUCCUCAGCUCCUCAGUCUCCACCAUUCCCUAUUGUGGCCCCAGCCUGCAAGCCCCACUUAUUUAUUUUACCUUCCCGACUUUACUGACAUCUGCGUUUGUGACUGCUGGUCUGGUUUGUGCUAUAAAAGGCUGACCAGCCUGGUGGUUGGAUCCGUUCUGGGCCAGGUGGACGGAGGCCCGCCACAGGAACCCACACCCUGGGAGCCACUUUGUGCUUCUGACCACCGCAAACACUGUCUGCGGUGAGGUUGACAAGUUGGGAAUCAGCCCUCCAGGCCCAAAGGCUUCUCCUUGGCAGAAGCAGAAGCCAAUUCAAAUUGUUUUUCUUUUUUUCUUUGCUCAUCUGAAAAGUCCUCCAAGAUCCUCCUUCUUAUUAACAACCUGCACACCAUGCUGUGCUUAAAGUUCAGAGCGCCAUAGGCUAUGGAGCCAUAAUUAAUCUCAGUCCCUGAGUUCUAGAACACUUAGAGCAGUUAUAAUUUGCUGUUGGAAAACCAAUUUGGGGAAGCAGUGGUGUUCUCACCCUUGAUCAUGGCUCCACUGAAUGCCACUUCCUGUCCACGUGCUGCCUGCUGGGAGAGCAAGACCUUUCCUCUCUGCACCUCUGGGAGGUGACACAGAGUGUAGAAGGUGGGAGGACAGAAGAGGGAGUUGGUGAGCUACCCGUGGGGACAUGGGCUUCCAGGACCACUGCCGGCACUGCCUCUGAGCUGGUUUGGUCACCCUGCAUCAGGUGCCUCUUAUUUUCCAAUUUAGUCCAAUUUUACAACCCCCGUCCACAUACCUUCCAUGUCUUAGGCACUGUCUGGUUGGGGCAGAUGCCAAGUCGUGUUCUCUCUCUUCUGCCCUCACCACUUUCCUGGCCUGUCCCUGCUGCCCUGGGCCACACUCAAGAUUUCUGCUCCACGCAUGGAAGUUCUCUUUUUUCUCCUCAUUUCUUUUUUUUGCUCAAGGCCAGAUUGUCAUAUCAUUGAAAUCACUCACAGUUGAAAUCAGUCACAGCAGACAAGGGUAAAACGUCACGGCUCCAGUGAAAUGCACACACUGACAUAGGGUAGGGUCACACACUGCCGGCUACCACUGUGUGUGUUUAUAGGUUUGUCUGUCCUGCUGCCUGUGCCAUCUGCAGCCAGGAGCCGUGUCCCAUUUGUCCACUGGCCCCAGAACCUGGCGAGAGGCACCACACAGAGCAGGCAGGUAGUAAGUGUCCACAGGGGUGGUUAGCUUAACAGCAAUAUAGACACACUAGAGAGUGUGAAAAUAGAAAUACUUAUAGGGAAAUAAGCCAAUAAUGGCCUGCCUUCAUUCAUUAAUUAUUUAUUAUUCACUCAUUCAACCAGUCCUCACAGGCACUGGGACCUGUGCUCAGUCUUGGGGAUAUUGAAAUGAAAAUAUCUUUGUUUCUGACUCCAGCUUAAAGGUAUCCUAAGUGAGAGGCUCAUUUAGGGCAUUCUGGGGGUGCAUAGGAGGGACCCCUGACUGGUGUAGGAAAGCAUUCUGGAGGAGGUGAUAUUUGAGCAAGCCCUGGAUUAUUCUGUGCUUAUCUCCAGCACCUCACUUAAAAGUUGCUCUAGGUUUGUCCACUUAUGUGUUUGUGUCUCCAGAGAGGCUGAGGGCCCCUUUAGAGAAGGGACCCUGUCCUAGUUACCCUUGAAUUCUCAUCACCUAGAACAGUGCCUGGGCCAUGGGAUAAGGUUUGGUGCAUACUCGUGGGAUGAAUGAAUGAAAGAGCAUUUUCCAGGUAAGGAGGGUGGAACAGGGAUUCCAGGCAGAAGGACAGCCCAGAUGGGUGGAAGGAUAGUGCUGGGAGGUUACUACCAAGCUAGGAGCCCAGAGAGCAGGGUUGAGAGGGAAGGCAGAGGGCACUGGGAGAGUAGAGGGGCAUAGACACAAAGAACAGCUUCCUGCGCUUAGACUUGGGCCACAAACUGAUGCCUCCAGGAGCAGGGCAGACAAUAGAAAUGCAUGAAGGAGGCAGGAGUAAGACCCUGAAGACUGGCGGGGUUCACGGAGAACUGAAUAGUGUGCCUCACCAACAGCAUUGGAAUGCAACAUUAAAGAAAAUGCUGUUAGCCAAACGAAACAUUCAGGCCCUUGGGUCACAAGUUUGCAACUUCCUACCCCCACUGCCAGGUACUAUACAGAAGGUUGUGUGGAAUUGUGGGAAAAGUCCUGCCUUGGAUUUCUGGAGAAGUGGGAGCAAAUCCCAGCUUGGCCCCUUGCUGGCUGUGAGGCUUUGUCCAAGCCUCUUCCCCUCUCUGCCCCUCGCUUUGCUCAUCUGCUAGCUUACCCACCCUGCCCACCUGUCAGGCCGAAUGAGAUGAUGGACACGCAGUGCUCUGUAGUUACUAAAGCCCCGGCACGUGCAGAGGCUUUCGUUCUAAGCAUGAUGCGAGGGGAUGUCUAGGUUCCUUGUGGAAAGAGGGGGACUGUAGUGGGAGCCUUACAGGUGGUCUGAAACCUCUCAUGGAAGGUGGGUUCUGUGAGAGCAGGACAUGCCCCUGCUUAGAGUGGAGAAGGGAAGUUCAUGCAGCUGGAGGGACCAGGGUGCAGAUAGUGGCUGGGGUGGCCAGAGAGGAGAUUCUGGAAGAGUCAGAGUUGCUAAGAGAGGAUGGAAGUAGGGAGGUGGACACUCAGUCGGGGAGGUGGCCUGAAGCUUCCCGGCUUGAUUACCUGGGACCUGGCCAGAGUAAGAAGAGUAUCUAAAACAAGGCCCGGCAGAGGGUGGCUGGGGUGAGGAUGUCCAUGGGCCUGGGACAAAGGGUUGGGUUGGAAUUCUCAGCAACACCUCAGCACGGCACACAGCCAGACACAGAGAUUCUGUCACCCACUGGGAUCUGGACCCAGGGCCCCUUCCCCAUCUGGGUGACUGUCUGGUCCUCUCUGGGGCCUUGGGGAACACUCAGUGUGGCCCAAGACUGUCUGUGGACACUGUUAAGUGAGCAUCAUUAGGAGGAGGUUUCCCUGCCUCAAGGAGAGCCAAGGAUCCUGGGAGGCAUCUGUGCUGAGAGGGCCCUGCAGCCGUUUCCAGGCCUCUCAUUUUGCCGGUCCAGAGGGAGUAAGGGACUUGCCCAGGGUCUUCCGUCUCCUUGUCUUUGGAAUCUUGCAGGCCUUGGUUGUGCUGGAAUUCUCCCUUUAAUUCUGAAGCGUCAGGAAUAGAAGAUUCAGAGCAUCUCAGGGCUGAAGGGACCUUAAAGUUGAUGAAGUCCACCUGUGGUUCCCCCCCACUCCCACCUGCAGAUCUGCUUCCCCUCGUCUCUGUGGCGUAGGACUCCCUGCUGCCAGGCCCCACCAAGCCUGAGGUGUCCUCACUAGCUACAGAGAUUUGGGAGGGCAGAGCAAGCCCCAGGUCCCAGGGUCAUCACAGCGCGCUCACUGGAGACUCAGCCUCGUGCCCUGCCCACUACUGCACCCCAGCACCUGUGGUGGUGCCAGCACAUGGUGGGUGCUCCACAAAUCCUGCUGAACAAAUGAAGAACUUGUUUCGAGCCCCAGGGAGAGCCAGGACACGGACUGGCAGGCUCUGUGUCCAGGGGCCCACGAGCAGUUAGACAUACUCCAUGGGCACCUACUGCAGGCAGCAGUAGGCUGGAGGCCAGGGCCACCCUGGUCACCAGGGUAGAUCUGGUCCUGCACCCAGGGAGUGCACUGUGCAAUGGAGGAGGCAGACAGAGAAGGGGAGCAGAGCCCUGUGCUCACCUGUGGCUGGAGAACCUCUAGCUGCCCUGCUCCCUGGAGCUCCCUGGGGGCUUUCUGAGCCUCCACCCUAGGGACGCCGCUCCCUCUUCAUCUUGCCUUGUCUUCCUGCAGCUCCCCCCUCACUCUCCAAGCCCUGGCUCAAACAGCACCUCUUCUGGGAAGGCCUCCUUCACCCCCUUUCCAAUCAGGCUCACUCUUGGACCAGCUCUAUUCUUUCUCAUCAGCUGUACUUAGGGGCUCUGUGCUUAUGGAGCAUCUACUGGAUCCAAAGCCAUUUGCUUGGAUGCGUGGUUGUUGAGUGAAUUCCUGAUCUGUUAGCACUUGGGAAAACAUUCCCCUCUCUUUCGUGGAAAGUGUAAAUGGGGCAUUAAAGGACUUGGCCCUGCUCAGUGUUCCCUGUCCCCACCCUCUGGUGGCACAGGGCUCUGGCACACAGCUGGAGGCACCACUUUGCUAACAUUAAAGUACUUUUGAAUGUGUGCCAGACACUGCUUGGCCCUGUGCAUUAUCUUGUUUUAUUGUCCCCACAGCCCUCUGAUCUGAGGUACCAUUAUCAUCCUCAUUAUACAGUAGUCCCCCUUACCCGCAGGAAACUCACUCCAAGACCUCCAGAGGAUGCCUGAAGCCACAGACAGUACUGAAUUCUAGCCAGUUAAGUGCCACAUGAUGGUGUUUCAACAGCAUACCUCAUACAUGACUGUGCUCCCAUAAGAUUAGCCCCACACGGCCACACGGUGCAGUGGGCUGUACCAGCCAGGUUUGCGUGACUGCGCUCUAUGAUGGUUGCACAACAAGGAAACCACCUAAUGAUGCAUUGCUCAGAGGAUGUCCGCGUUGUUAAUUGAUGCAUGACUGUAUAUACUGUUUUUUCCUAUACAUAGUGAUGAUAAAGUUUAAUUUAUAAAUUAGGCACAGUAAGAGAUUAACAACAACUAAUAAUAAAGUAAAACGAUGAUAACAAUAUACUGUAAUAAAAGUUAUGGGAAUGUGAUCUUUCUCUCUCUCAAAUGUCCUAUUGUUCUGUACUCGCCCUUCUUCUUCUGGGGGUCUUUGGACUUGCCCGGGCCCUGGUGUAGCUCCCUAGGGAGCUUUCUGGGCUGCUCCAUCCCUUGUAGCUUCUUUGGUCCUCAAGGAUGUCAUCACAGGUGGGCCCUCUGAUUUAUACUGCUCUUCCCUUGUACCCUGCAUGUGGGUCAGUCUUGGUCCUCUGGCCUCCACACUCGCUGAGGUCAGGGGCUGAGCCUAGGCACACAGCUGGCACUUACUAAAGACAUGUGUCUUUAUCAUGUCCUCAUCCCCACACACAGCCACCUGCAUUUUCCCCUUUAGGGCUGAUGGUUUACUCAUUGUCCAUUCUAACCAGUGUCCCUCCUAAAUAGCCGCCAAAGAGCUGGCGUGGUCAGUGGGGAAGGCGGGAGGCCGAGGGCUUAAGUCUCAGCAAUGCCACUGCCUGGCCAUGGGACUUUGCCUCUGGGGUCCGCAGAUGCCCCAUCUCUGAACAGGGGUCAUCAGCCACGCUCUUCAGGAUAUGGUGGGAGCUUGAGGAAAUGCAGAUGUGACUCUGCGUCUCAGUUUUGCUGAGCUGCCCAAGGCUGGGAACCAGGCAAACGAUGCUGAGUACCCCCGAUCCCAGAGGAGACAUGUGAACAGCCAGUGGAGCUUCAGGAGACACAGAAAGAGAUAUAAAAGGAGAUUUAUUAUGGGAAUAGGCUCACGUGAUUAUGGAGGCUGAGAUACGCCACAGUAUAUUGGCCGGACACUGGAGACCCAGGAAACCUGGUGGUACAAUUUAGUUAGAGUCUGAAGGCCUGAGAACCAUGGUGCAGCUCCCAGACUGAGGUCGAAGGCCUCAGAUUUGUGGAACGGGUACUGGUGUAAGCCCUGGAAUCUGAAGGCCCAAGAACCAGGAGCUCUGAUGUCCAAGGGCAGGAGAAGAUGGGCAUCCCAGCUCAAGAAGAGAGCUUCAUCUGCGUUUUUGUUAUAUUCCAGCCCUCAAGGAAUUGGAUGCUGCCUGCCCACACCGGUGAUGGC